UUUUUAAUGUUUGUGUUUAGUUGAAUUAAGAAAAUAAAACUGGUUUAAAUUUUAGAAGAGGGAGUAAAAGUUUGCAAUGGUGUGUGAGGAUUGAGGAAUAUAGCAGCAAAUUUGCAUAGAAUCAAUGUCUUGGAAAUUGCGGGGCGAUUUAUAUUAUAGAGAUAUGAGUUUUGGAUGUGAUGAUGCUAAAUAAAAUACAACAAAAAUGUUCCUAUCAAAAUUGUCUCACUUUCUAGGACUUGAUGUAUUAUUCAAUUAAUCUCAAUUAUGCCAUUUACAUUAAAUAAUUAAGUUUAAUAUACCAUCCCAAAAAAACUAAGUUUAAUACUACUCAUUUUCAAAUGUGAGAACCAAGUAUUUCAAAAGUUAAAAUAUUCAUAAAAUUUAAGACCUGAAGUUUGAUCUAUAUACUAUUCAAUCUUUCCAGAAAAUAAUUUACCAAUCAGAUCCAACAAAUUUGUCCUCACCCAACUACCUAUAUUCACCAACCCCAACCCACAAUUUAAAAUACCAUUGAAAAAGCACCCCCAAAGUUACCAAAAAUACCUAGAAUAUCCCUCCCCUUACUUUUCUGUUUACAAUCUGUCUUCACGUCUCACGUCUCACGUCUCACGACUCACGCCUCGACGGAGUCCCCAACGUCUCCUCUCCCCCAACACACUUUAUAUUCAUUUCCCUCAUCCUCCUUCUUCUACUCUUCUUACUCUCUCUGCAGCAAAUUCUUCGAUCUGAUUCGCCAAAAUGCAGAGCACAGCAAUCUCGU
rnacentral:lncRNA from 1 species